rnacentral:rRNA from 1 species
GACGUAGGGGGCCAGCGUUGUUCGGAAUUACUGGGUGUAAAGGGUUCGUAGGCGGUGUGGCAAGUUGGGAGUGAAAUCUCUGGGCUCAACCCAGAGGCUGCUUCCAAAACUGCUGUGCUUGAGUGUGAGAGAGGCUCGUGGAUUUGCAGGUGUAGCGGUGAAAUGCGUAGAUAUCUGCAGGAACACCCGUGGCGAAAGCGGCGAGCUGGAUCACUACUGACGCUGAGGAACGAAAGCUAGGGGAGCAAACAGG